rnacentral:rRNA from 1 species
UACGUAGGGUGCGAGCGUUGUCCGGAAUUACUGGGCGUAAAGAGCUCGUAGGCGGUUUGUCACGUCUGCUGUGAAAUCCCGAGGCUCAACCUCGGGCCUGCAGUGGGUACGGGCAGACUGGAGUGCGGUAGGGGAGAAUGGAAUUCCUGGUGUAGCGGUGGAAUGCGCAGAUAUCAGGAGGAACACCAGUGGCGAAGGCGGGUCUCUGGGCCGAUACUGACGCUGAGGAGCGAAAGCGUGGGGAGCAAACAGG